rnacentral:rRNA from 1 species
AGAGUUUGAUCCUGGCUCAGGACGAACGCUGGCGGCGUGCUUAACACAUGCAAGUCGAACGAUGAAGCCCUUCGGGGUGGAUUAGUGGCGAACGGGUGAGUAACACGUGGGCAAUCUGCCUUUCACUCUGGGACAAGCCCUGGAAACGGGGUCUAAUACCGGAUAACACUCUGUCCCGCAUGGGACGGGGUUAAAAGCUCCGGCGGUGAAGGAUGAGCCCGCGGCCUAUCAGCUUGUUGGUGGGGUAAUGGUCUACCAAGGCGACGACGGGUAGCCGGCCUGAGAGGGCGACCGGCCACACUGGGACUGAGACACGGCCCAGACUCCUACGGGAGGCAGCAGUGGGGAAUAUUGCACAAUGGGCGAAAGCCUGAUGCAGCGACGCCGCGUGAGGGAUGACGGCCUUCGGGUUGUAAACCUCUUUCAGCAGGGAAGAAGCGAAAGUGACGGUACCUGCAGAAGAAGCGCCGGCUAACUACGUGCCAGCAGCCGCGGUAAUACGUAGGGCGCAAGCGUUGUCCGGAAUUAUUGGGCGUAAAGAGCUCGUAGGCGGCUUGUCACGUCGGAUGUGAAAGCCCGGGGCUUAACCCCGGGUCUGCAUUCGAUACGGGCUAGCUAGAGUGUGGUAGGGGAGAUCGGAAUUCCUGGUGUAGCGGUGAAAUGCGCAGAUAUCAGGAGGAACACCGGUGGCGAAGGCGGAUCUCUGGGCCAUUACUGACGCUGAGGAGCGAAAGCGUGGGGGAGCGAACAGGAUUAGAUACCCUGGUAGUCCACGCCGUAAACGUUGGGAACUAGGUGUUGGCGACAUUCCACGUCGUCGGUGCCGCAGCUAACGCAUUAAGUUCCCCGCCUGGGGAGUACGGCCGCAAGGCUAAAGCUCAAAGGAAUUGACGGGGGCCCGCACAAGCAGCGGAGCAUGUGGCUUAAUUCGACGCAACGCGAAGAGCCUUACCAAGGCUUGACAUAUACCGGAAAGCAUCAGAGAUGGUGCCCCCCUUGUGGUCGGUAUACAGGUGGUGCAUGGCUGUCGUCAGCUCGUGUCGUGAGAUGUUGGGUUAAGUCCCGCAACGAGCGCAACCCUUGUUCUGUGUUGCCAGCAUGCCCUUCGGGGUGAUGGGGACUCACAGGAGACUGCCGGGGUCAACUCGGAGGAAGGUGGGGACGACGUCAAGUCAUCAUGCCCCUUAUGUCUUGGGCUGCACACGUGCUACAAUGGCCGGUACAAUGAGCUGCGAUGCCGCGAGGCGGAGCGAAUCUCAAAAAGCCGGUCUCAGUUCGGAUUGGGGUCUGCAACUCGACCCCAUGAAGUCGGAGUUGCUAGUAAUCGCAGAUCAGCAUUGCUGCGGUGAAUACGUUCCCGGGCCUUGUACACACCGCCCGUCACGUCACGAAAGUCGGUAACACCCGAAGCCGGUGGCCCAACCCCUUGUGGGAGGGAGCUGUCGAAGGUGGGACUGGCGAUUGGGACGAAGUCGUAACAAGGUAGCCGUA